CAUACCUUGUGUACACAAAGCAAGACUUACCCAGGAGCAGGAAGUACUCCAAGAAGGUGGAAAAGAAAAACAGCAGAGGGCAUCUCACCUGCUUAGAGCCAAAUGAUCUCAUCUGGAUCAUCCUUCUUUCCAGGACGUUUGAUCUUUUACCAUCCUCUAUGAUCUUUCAAAAGCAAAGACAAUGUGUCAGCAAUCCUAUCUACCAGGUCCACCCAGUAUCCUAGCAAGUAGUUCAUCUGUGGCAGGUUGACUUGAACUCCUCAAGAGCAGGUGAUCCAAGGAAAGAUUCAUGGGAGGAUAGAGUCGGGGGGAUGUAGACUGCAACACAUGACCUGUGAGGAUCUGUGUGAGAGAAAUCCCAUAAAACACAUCUUCGAGGAAAAGGAAACGGGCUGGUUAUAUCACAAGAGUGAGCAAUCACAGUCCAAUAACUUCACUGGUCCCCAAGAAAUAUCAAAUGAACCAGAGAAAGACCUCCAGCACAUGGGGAGAAUGAUCAUUGGACUGGGAAGAACAGAAUAAAAAUGGUCAAUAAAGAGGUGAAACCUAAAAUAAACAAGAAGAUGGUGAGAUCACUGAAUUGCCCUCAAUGAGUCUAAGACAUCAGGAUUGGACAAACUGUAAUGCAGAGAAAGAAACUGCGGCCCAGAGAAGAAAAAUGGCUUGUCUAAGAUCCCAUAGCAUUGUUCUUCUGGCGUAUAUGGUCCUUGAGAACCCAAGAUCUUUGUACCAUGACAAAACAUCAAAAGAAGACUUUAAUCAAGGCAAAUACUUUUAUUCAAUUUUGCAAGUGAGGAAACUAAACUACAGAGCAGUUGAGUGACAAAGGACAGAAUAUUUUUUAAAAAUAAGGGAUUUUAGUGAUCAUUUAGCCCAAUCCUCUCACUAAAAAUGAGAAGCUUGAGGCCAGAGAGGUAAAAUUUUUUUAUUAAACAAUUUAUU